GAAAGGCCAAUCAAACCGGGAGAUAGCUGGUUCUCCCCGAAAGCUAUUUAGGUAGCGCCUCGUGAACUCAUCUUCGGGGGUAGAGCACUGUUUCGGCUAGGGGGUCAUCCCGACUUACCAAACCGAUGCAAACUCCGAAUACCGAAGAAUGUUAUCACGGGAGACACACGGCGGGUGCUAACGUCCGUCGUGAAGAGGGAAACAACCCAGACCGCCAGCUAAGGUCCCAAAGUCAUGGUUAAGUGGGAAACGAUGUGGGAAGGCACAGACAGCCAGGAUGUUGGCUUAGAAGCAGCCAUCAUUUAAAGAAAGCGUAAUAGCUCACUGGUCGAGUCGGCCUGCGCGGAAGAUGUAACGGGGCUAAACCAUGCACCGAAGCUGCGGCAGCGAACGUAUCACUUAAAACGCUUAACGUGACGGCAAAGCCGGCAUGUUCAAGCCA
rnacentral:rRNA from 1 species